CAAUAACAACAGGCUAACAUAAUUACACUGUAGAGGGCAGAUUGUGUCGGCUAUUACUUUAUUAAGAAAGAACAACAUGUGUGAAAGAACAGCAUCCUGCAAGGACGGAAGACUCGAGAGAAUGCAGGAAAGAGGGCAAGGCGGUUCACAAAUAUGCUGAAUUGAAAGAAUCAGGAUCACACCCUGAAAUAGCAGGAAAAUGAAUGUUUGCUUUCUCUGGCUUAUUAUUUGCUUAGUGAUACUUCAGCGUUUCUAAAAGAUAAAUGCCUUGGCUGUUGUUCUAUCAGUCUCUCUGCUUUAUUUAAUUUUACAAAGAGGAAUGCUCAGAUGUUAAAAUAUUUGUUCUCUUUUCACUUAGGAUUUGCUUCAUUUUCUACUCAAAAUGGAAUGACCCUCCGAGUUGUCUCCACUCCAGUAGGCUAUCCAGUAAAUUCUGUCUGCCAUGGUUCUUCUGGAUGUCUAACUCUGUCUCCUUAACUCAGGGAGUCCUUUCCCUGGGUUCCCUGCAACCUGCCCUGUCUCUUCAGUACAGCCUGGAAACGCUCUUCUGACGACACUCCUUAGGGUAAAGACAGACAACUGCCCAGGGAAAGGAUAGCUGAUUUUGGAACAAGGCUCUGACGGGGACUUUUCCUCAGGGUGCUUCAUAAAGAAGACACUGGGAGGUCGCGCUCAACUUCGUUGGCAGCAGGUAUCCUAAAUCCACUCCUGUGGCCUUAGCAGGCAUGGCUGCCCAGUGACCAGCCUGUGUUUAAUCACCAGCCUGCUGAGGUGAUUUAAUUUGUAUCUUGUAUUUUUUAUUUUAUUUGUUUGCUUUCUGCUGAGUUCUGACCAGGCAGCGAUCCAUGUAACAAAAAGAUGAUAACAUUAUGAGAAGAGAACACGUGUAGAAUGUUAGCGGCCACUCAACAAGAGCUGGAGAUUUCUAAAAGACAGGGUGAGAAUACGUGAUGUUUAGAAACCACAAAUGGGACCCCUCUUCAGGUGGAAGCAUAUUUCCAAUCAAUCUGAACUAUGUGCUGUUGCAUGGGAAUAGACUUUUGAGAAGUAUGGGAUGAGGUGAUGAAGAAAAUUUACUGUGCUUAGGGAAGGCAAAUGAUUGGUAAAGUAUCUUAUCUAGGGUAGUUAAAAUACAUACACACACCAUACUUUGAUGAAUUCAGCCUAGGCACAGGGGCAUAAUUGACAUACCAGAGUCAACAAGGUCAAGAGUAGAAUAGGGGAAUCAAUUGUGGCAUAUUCAUACAAUGGCAUACAGCCACGUGCCAUAAUAUGAGUUAAUCUCACAAACAUGUUGAGACCAAGAAAGAAGCCAGACAUAAAGGACUAUAGAUUUGUGAAUUCCAUUUAUAUGGAGUUCCAAACUAAGUAAAACUUAACAAGAGUAUUAGAAACUAGGAUCAUGGUUAACUUUGGGGAGAAGGGUGGGUGUUUUGACUGAUAAAAGACAUAAGCACUAUUUCUGGGGGUGUCAGUAAUAUUCUCUCUCUACAUCUUAGUGAUGGUAACAUUGGCAUUUGCUCUGAGAAGUUCAUUGUGUGAUUCAUUGAACUUCACAAUUACGUUCUAUGUACUUUUCUAUAUGUGUGUUUUAUUAAAAAACCAGCAAGAAAACUUUAUUUAAAAUUUUUAAUAGUGAAAAAUAUUUUAAAGCUCAGUUUUUAAAAUCAAAACAGGUUUAUUUUUAAAAUUAAAAGUGUAUACAAUUAUCCUACAGACAAUGGAAAGCAAUGUUAACUAUUUAACUAGAAUUUUGGGGAACGUUCUGCAAACACUCCCUUCACCUAAAUAUAUAUGUAUACAAUGAAUAGAAUGUCAACUAUAAGUAGUUUCUGGCUAUUAAUGGAACGACUUCAGGUUAACUGUAUAACUUAGUGUAUUUUUUUAGUGUUAUAAUGGGGAACUAAAUGUGUUUCAGAGAGUAAAACACUGAAAGAUUCAUUCGGGACCCUUGGUGAAUGAAGGGGUUUUACUUUGUGUUCAGUUCUAUAUCUCCAGUUCUCAGAACAAUGUUUACGACAUAAUAGGUGCCAGGUAAAUAGCUGUUGAAAAAGAGUAAAUGUGUAUUUGAGUAUUUUGCUCUCUGAGAGGAGAAGAUGGUGACCGUACUAGGGUGUGGCUGACAAUCUUACUUCAUGUCUAUUAAAUGCAGUGUUGCAAUUGUAAAUAAGUCUUAGCCUACUGGACAUUUUUGUCAUUCUCGUUGCCUUGGGAACAGAGAUGAGGCAGAAGAAAACAACACUGGCCAAAGGCAAGGGUGUGGAACAGCCUGGCUCUGUGUGGGGAAGAGUGAGUAAGGAAUUCCUUUUGGCUGAAGGGUCAGGGCUGGGGGGAAGGGAGGGAGUUAAGGAUGGAAAAUGGUAGAAAUCAUAAAGUUAGGAUAAGGCCACUGUGUGACAUUCAACAUCAAAUGAUAGCUCCGCCCUUUUCAUUUGAGCUCACACAUGCCUGCAUGCCAUCAUUCCGGCCCCUAAUGCCACAGUGAAGGCCAAUGAGAUGAACGGGCCCCAUGGUAGUUUAUGUUCAAUUUUCCUGAAACCUGCAAAGCUUUUUCUAGAAUGUAUCUGGGUGUCUAGAGAACAUCAAGAUAACUGGGAGAAAAAGGAUCUGAUUGCUGCUGUGUGGUACUAAAUGCUCGAUUCACUCUUUCAUUCAUUCAAAAUGGGUCUACUUUUCAAUGAGUAAAUGUCUGAAGGUUGCAGGCAUCUCCAAGACUCAGUCUUAGCUCUGGCCAUCGCUCAAAACCACAAGACUUUUGGGGCACCUGGGUGGCUCAGUUGGUUAAGCAUCAAACUUCGGCUCAGGUCAUGAUCUCAUGGCUCGUAGGUUCGAGCCCCGUGUCAGGCUCUGUGCUGACAGCUCAGCCUGGAGCCUGCUUCUGAUUCUGUGUCUCCCUCUCUCUCUUUGCCCCUCCCUCGCCUACGCUCUGUCUCUGUCUCUCUCUCUCAAAAAUGAAUAAACGUUAAAAUAUAACAAACAAACAAAAAAACUGCAAGACUUUUGAAUCAGCCUGGUGGUAUUCUAACUGGUUUGGCAAGGUCUUCUCUUAUGUGUCUUAACAACUAUCAGAAAUAACGCGUAACCACAAGAGUGCCUCCUGGAAUGCCUUGAUUUCAUGCAUCGUAAUAAAAUGAAUCAUAUGCGCUUAAGGAAAGGAUUUAAAAAAUGUAAAGCAAGCAGUACAAGCCUAAAUGACGCUGCCACCAUUGAGCAGUGCUGAAUACGCAAUUACCUGCUAAACAAUAGGUAUUAACAAAUCAGGCCGAAUGCUCGUGAGAAAACGGUCCUCUAAUUAAAUAAAAGGAGAAUCCGAGUUUCUUGUUGCAGGGAUUGUUGGUGGGAUUAAAGGAUUGUUCUGGAGCCCAGUGCACAGAAUGAGAGACCUGGCGGCCUGCCUCAGAGCUCUGCAGCCCCCACCUGCUGAGACGCCCCAAACCCUGAGACCAACUUGGUUUCACUAAGUGGGAGGAUUAAGACAGAUCUUGACCAUCGCCCCCCCUUUGGUCAGCAAAGAAAAAGAAAAAGAAAAUGAGGAAAACAGCUCAUUUUUCACUUGUCAUUUCACGGAAUGAGUAUAAGACCCAGGGUAAGCAUACAUCCCAUAGUGAGAAUAUAUUGUUUAACUGAGUAUGAUUCUGCUUUUCAUUUUUUACGUUUUUAAAGUUUAUUUAUUUUGAGAGAGAGAACGCACAUGAAAGGGGAAGGGGCAGAGAGAAAGAGGGAGAAAGAAUCUCAAGCAGGAUCUGCGCUGAGCCGGACACAAGGCUCAAUCUCACGACCAUGCUGAGAUCAUGACCUGAGAGGAAAUCAAGAGUCGGACACUUAACCAACUGAAACACCUAGAUGCCCCUAAUUGUGCUUUUUUAAAUAAUAUGCAUAUUUUUACAUAACCCAUCCCCUAAAUGCAAGCCAAUUGUCCACUCUGGAAUUCAACUAAAGAAUGAUUUUUUUUUUUCAGUGCUUAGAAUUAAAGGGCUGGGGGUGGAAGGCAUCUAUUG